rnacentral:lncRNA from 1 species
CGGGUGUGAUGGCCACCGAGAAGACUUUGACGCCCAGGUGCUUGGCCUCGUUCACAGCAUCCUCCAGCCCCCCACAGGGUUCCUUGUAGCCCUCCAGGGGGAGCUGCUCCAGCCCCUUCUUGAUAGCGCAGUCGGUGUAGGUGCCCUUCCCAAAGUACUUGACCGCGUCCACGCUGCUUUUGAGUGCGUCGCGGCCGCCA